GAAAUUUUGGACAACAUUAUUGUGAGCUUAGUUGUUGCUGGAUAUACGUCCACUGCUUUGGUCUUCAUGUGGGCUAUUUACUUCCUUGCCAAGUUCCCCAGAGUCCUUCACAAGCUAAGGGAAGAUAACAUGGCUUUAACAACGACCAAAGCUGGGGAUUUCAUCACAACUGAAGAGAUCUCAAAGUUGAAAUACAUGAACGUGGCAUAUUACAUUUUAUUAACACAUAUAUUAAUCAAUUAUGUUCAUCGAUCAACAAUAUGAAACAUAUAAUGAAAUUAGUGAAUUUAGUUAUUUACAAGGAGAAUA